CCGGCUGAUGACACUAAGGCGAAUGCGACUCCGUGCUCUCUGGUCCUUGGCUCCCUGGGGGUGAGGUUUUGACUGGGAUCUGAAAUCUUCGUGGGGUGCCUGAGGCCUGGCUCCUCACUGUAAGGCAGAUCCAUAGCACCAUUGGCCUUGCCUCCAGUUCUGCUGCCUCCAGUUCCUGGCAGCUGCCUGCAGCAGGGCCCACAGUGGGGGGCCAAAGUGGGACUAGGCACGAGCUGUCUGAGCGCAACCUUGGAUCUGACA
rnacentral:snoRNA from 1 species